AAUAUUGGACAAUGGGGGCAACCCUGAUCCAGCCAUGCCGCGUGUGUGCAGAAGGACUUCGGAUUGUAAAGCACUUUAAGUUGGGCGGAAGGGCUUUAGGCUAAUAACCUGAAGUUUUGACGUUACCAACUGAAUAAGCUCCGUCUAACUCUUUGCCAUCAGCCGCGGUAAUACAGAGGGUGCACGCGUUAAUCGGAAUUACUGGGCGUAAAGCGCGCGUAGGUGGUUCAGUAAGAUGGGUGUGAAAUCCCCGGGCUUAACCUGGGAACUGCUUUCAUAACUGCUGAGCUAGAGUACGGUAGAGGGUAGUGGAAUUUCCUGUGUAGCGGUGAAAUGCGUAGAUAUAGGAAGGAACACCAGUGGCGAAGGCGACUACCUGGACUGAUACUGACACUGAGGUGCGAAAGCGUGGGGAGCAAACAGG
rnacentral:rRNA from 1 species